UUCAUACCAUUGAUCUUAAAUCCAUCUAGUGGCCAAUAUGAGAUUCUCAAUUUUAUUUCCUUUUAUUUUUCAAGUUUUCUCGUCUAAUUACUACUGUACCUCUCUCUUCCCUGAGUACAACACCACAAGUAUCAUCACCAACAGAUGAAUUUAAUUCAAUGGUUUAAAUUAGGUGUACCUCCUCCGUCUUUGGACAGGAUAACUACGGAAUGUGAAUAUACUGAUCAAUCUAGCUAGCAAAUCCUAUCUUCAUAAAUAAAAGGGGAAAACUAUACGAAUUCCAUAUUCGAUUUAUGUUAGUCUUUUAUUUGGAAUUAUUCCAAGUCUAACCCACGAUAAUGUUUGACAGGGCUGCUAAGCUGGGAACAAAGUUGGAAUGGAUGAAGGAUUCAGUGAAAACUAUAAUGGGUCCGAUUCCAGCCAUCAAAUUUGAUAAGGAAAGGCAACGCAAGAUUUGGUUUAAUAGCAUGGUGGCUUCUUACACAGGAUGGGAAUAUGCUCAAAAUGAUCCAGUGAAGGCGGCGGUCACAUUUGGAGAUGGUAACCCGUUGCCUGCUCGUAUCAUCUAUGACUGUCUGAAAAUCCUUGACGAGGAAAGUGUUGCCAUUCCUUGGCAGAAGGGUGAUGUUCUACUACUGGAUAAUUUGGCCUAUCUUCACUCCAGGCGACCAUCCAACCCACCCCGCCGUGUACUAGCUUCACUUUGCAAGUGAAAAAAUGUAGAGCUUCCUCUUAUGGGCACUUGUUAGUUCCUUACUUGAUUGUAUGAUGAACCAUUACUCUAUACCUACAAAACAAAAAAGUAAAUGUUGUUGUAAUAUUUCGAAUCCUUAUACGACUGACUUGUAAUGUAUGAUUAAUAAAUGAUGUUUUUGUGAUUGAAAUUAUGUGUUAUGUGAUUGAAUGUGUGUGGUUUCAUUAUAAGUAUAGAAAAUUUAUAAAACUUUAACUAGGAAUUCACUAUUCAUAAAAACGUUAAAUCACUAUUUAUAAAAACGUAAAGUCAACAAUUUCAGCUAACUAGAUUAGUUAGGAAAGCUAACUAUUGAGCAAACUAGCUGCUAACUAGAUGGUAAACCAAGUUUAGAGUAACCAAACUAAGUGUGAUCCGAUUAGGGUGUAGAAAAAGUAGGGAUAUUUUGGUAAUUAUGAAAGUAUGUAAUACUUACAAACUUGUAAGUACGGAUUAGUCACCGAAUUGAGUUUUGCUAGCUCUUGGUGUGUUGUCAAGCAAUGAAAUGAGAGAUCUGACUUAUUAGUUAUUUAACUUAGUGUUGUCAAGCAUAAAUUAUGAGAUGUGGCUUUUGGGUUGCAAGUGCCAAGCUUGGUAGGCCAUUGGCCUUGUCGGUCACUUGUGAGUGGCUUAGCUUUUGACCUUGUUGUUCAUUUGUUAGAGGUUGAACUAGAUGGCCUUGUUUGUCACUUUGAUCAUUAUACCCCAAGUCUUGGUUGCUUAUAAAUAAUAUCUUCAUGUCAUGCUAAUAACUUUCAUUAAAUUAUAAAGCAAUUAUAAGAGAGAGCAUAGUAAGAUCACAUGUAUUUGAGAUGUAGAAAAUCAAGUUUUGCUUAGUCAAGAUAAUUGUAAAGCUUGCAACUUCAAGAGGUUAUCCGAAAGACAAAAAAUUAGCGUAAACAUAGAAGAAGCUAUCAGGCAAAUUUUCUAACUCAUUCAAUUUAUGUACUUGCGCAAAGUGCAACAAUGUAUUUUAAACUGUUGAAUUUUAUUUAAUUUUUUCUUUGAAUUAUGAAGUUAAUAUAUUGUGAAAUGAUUUAUUGAAAAAAGUUAUUUGUCAUUUGAUUCGGCUUAACUCGAGUAUUGAGUUAUUCCCUUCAGAAUAAUUAUUGAUGAGAUAUUGAAUUGUUAUAAUUAUUUAUUUGAGUUGAAUUUAUUGUGUCAAACCAAAUUAUUUUGGGACGGAAGUUGUAGGUUAGUAACUGAAAUGAACAAUCCUUAUUCAUGAGGAAUUUAUGAUGUGUCGAGUAACCAACUCCUAUAUUGUUGAAAACGAAAGUUGUCAGUAUAGAAGGUGUUAUACAUAAUGUGAUAGUAUUAGGUUGAUCCCUUAUAAUAUCUACAUGGAGUUCUAAGUCUUUGUAACUGAUGAAUGGAGUGUUCUAAGUCUUAUGACUGACGAAUAGUUCAUGGUUUAACAACCCUUAGUUUACUAUUAUGAACAAUUGUUGAUAUCUUUUGUUAAACUAUUCAUCCCUUUGAAUCAAAGAAGUGUGAGUUAAUUCUCUUAUGUAUUAAACUUGUUGAGCUAUCUUAUGCUCAUUCUUGCAAAUAUGUUUCAUAUGCAGUUAAGAAAGUAUUACCAGAAGAGUCUGACAGUAAAACAGAAAAGUUAAAGAAGAUCGAGCAGAUAAUUUGUCUUCUUUAUUUGUAAUAGAACUUGAAGUUAUAAUAAAUUUGGAGAUUUGAUUAAAAGAGUUGGAAAUUAUUAUAAAAAUGUAAAGUGUACUUUCCGUUUAAGCUAGUAGAUGUAGAAGUCAUUUAAUUAUGCUAGAUUAACAGUAUUGACAAUGUCUAAAAAGUUAUGUCGAGAAAAAAAAGUUGUAUAAUUGAGCAUUGCUUUUAACGAAAAACUCCCUAGCUCUUUCCUAGGAACUUACUGGUUGCUAAUAUUGAAAGUUUUGAAUAGAUAAAUAUAAUGGUGAUCAUGAAGUUGAGAAGAAGGGUUUAGUGUUUGAUUGAAGUUAUGAAAUACUUGAGAGAUAGUAGGGUUGGAGGAGUUGCAUAUUUAAUGGAUUAGAAUAAGUUGUAAUUUUUAUGUCUUUGAGAUGUAAUUGAAAAUUGUAAAAUUUACGAUACUGGAAUAAAGAGUAUGAUGUUAAGUUUUUAAUUAAACGAGUUUUUACCAAGUAUAAUAUUAGUGAAUAUUAAGAAAAGAUGUUGCUAUUUAGGGAUGAAAGUAAAUAUAUAAUUAAUGUAAUGUCUGUAAUAGACUAGUUAAACAAAUAGAAUUAUCGAUAAAUUUAUAUCGUCAGCACAAGAUCAGGGGUUGAAAUUGACAUAUGCUCAAUAUGUAUCAAGACUAUCAGUACAUAAACUAACUUGUUUAAUAUGACAUUAAGCAAACUCGGGAAAUUGUUUAUGAGUUGGAGAGAUAUUUUCUUUCAAACCAAUAGUCUUUUUGAAGGCAAUAUUCUUUAAUGAUCUGAAUAGACCUGGCAUAAAUAAAUUAUAAACGAAAAGUGCUCCAGAGAUUUCGGCCACCUGAUUAAAUUAUCAUGAUACUUGUUUAUGAAUUUGGUAUUCGAUCAAAUUACUCAGAUUAGUAUGAAUUCAGGACUAGUAGACUACACAUGAUUACAAACCCAAAAGUAGCAUUAGAAAAGUUGUUCGGACCUUCACGUAUACUAAUUAGAGCGAGCAAAUAUUUUGAAAACUGAGAAAAAGAAGUCAUACUAACUUAUAUACUAUAUACAAAUAUUAUGCCAUGAUAAUUACAGGAAAGAGGUUUAAAACCGAAUUAAGAAGCUUAUAUAUUCAAACAACUUACUACUAUUUAUUAAUGAUAAAAGAAUAAUACUAUAAUAUAUGGCUGUUCCCAGCAAGAGUUGCUUCCCACUCCUCCACUGAAGACAAGAGGAUAUAUAUAUAUAUAUAUAUAUAUAUAUAUAUAUAUAUAUAUAUAUAUAUCAGUGCUUCUUCAUCUCUGGCCGCAAAAUGCAUGCAUUUAAAUCCAUCAGGUUAGGAUCAAUAUAUAUGGUCUUUCAAGCUCGACAUGCAUGCAUGCUCAUGGAGUCGGGUGAUUUCCGAAACCAUUACAAGCACUAGCAGCUAUAUAUAUAUAUAUACAAUAAUCAUUUUAAUUAGAUGUAAAUGUUUUGCUGCAACCAAAAAAGUUGCAGUCCAAAAACUAUCUUGGCAUCUGGAAUCAAUAUAUAGUCAUGAUAAGCCAACAGAUGGACACGCUCGUUAAUAUUAAUUUUUUUUAACUGAAUAAACUCUUUAUUAGCCUUAAAUGUGAUAAUCUUAACAAAUUAAUGCUUCGGGUCUUUUGAAUUUAAUUUAAUAUAUUUUAAAAUUUAAAAUCAUUACAAUUGUGAACUUUUUUAUUUUUUUACAAUUAGUAUUUUUUUAAUAGUUACAAUCUGACAAUAUUUAAUAUUUCAUUACCUCAAAUUUAUAUUAAAUUUAAAUUUAAAUAUUUAUUAAAUUAACCUUUAAAAAUUAAUAAUAAUUUUAUACUUUAAAACGAAAGGUUGAGAGUAAAUUAUAUAAGGAUCGCAGGUAAAAUUAUUACUUUAUACUAUUAAAUAGCAAUAUAUUAUGUAGAUAAUUUAAGAAAUUCUCAAAACUAGUUGAUCAAUUAAUUAAAUAAUUUUAUUAUUAUAAAUAAGAAUUACACAAUUUAUUAUGAUAUUUUUUUCCCUUAAAUUAGAUAUAUAGUAUAUAUGUUAUUAUUGAAUUGAAUAUUAUAAAAAAAAAUGAUAUACAUGUCCAUAAAUAUUUAAUAGAAGACCAAACGUAUAUUUGUCGAAAUUAAAUAGCGACCAAUGUGAAGAAAUAUAUAAUAAAUUAAAAUAAAACUUUUCUUAAUUUAUAUCUAUCGAUUGUAUUGAAAAUUUUGAUAAUAUAUAGCAGAACUCUAUUAAAAUUAUUGGUUUAAUUUAACGGAAAUGCUAGUACAAUUUAUUCUCAUCAGUUAGUUACUAGUAUGCCAUGAGAUGAAAAGGACCUACAGCAAAACCAUAAUUGACAUGGGGGAUAUUCCCCUUUUCUUUCUCGCUGUAUCUGGACGCAUAUACUGUUAAAAGGGAGGGCCAAAUAAAACCUCCUUUCUCAAUUUGAAAGGGGGAGUCUCUAUUUAAAUGUGUAGAUUUAAAGUUAUUAGAUGUAAGAUUUAAAAUUUAUCAAAAGUCACUAAUUUUAAUUAUUUUAUUUAAAAUUUAUUAACCUAAUUCUAGUCAUUUUAUUUAAAAGUUAUUAACCUAAUUCUAGCCAUUAAUAUUAAUAUUAAUAUUAUUAUUAUUAUUAUUAUAAAUUGUUAUAUUAAAAUAAUAAUAAUAAUUUUUAUUUUUAUUAUUAAACAAUUUUAGAAUAAUAAUAAUAAAAGUAUUAUUAUUAUUAUUAUUAAUAAAAAAACCAAUGAGGGACAUAACAAAGUGCUCAUAAUAAUAAUAAUAAUAAUAAUAAUAAUAAUAUUAUUAUUAAUAUUAAUAUUAAUAUUAAUAUUAAUGUUAUAUUAAAUUAAUAACUAGAGUUAAAUUAAUAAUAAUAAUAUUAAUAUUAUAUUAAAUUAAUAACUAGAGUUAAAUUAAUAAUUUUUAAAUAAAGUGAUUAGAAUUAGAUUAAUUAAUUUUAAAUAAGAUAAUUAAAAAUAAAUUAAUUUUUUUUAAAUAAAAUGAUAAUUUUUUGAUCUUACAUCUAAUCACUUUAAAUCUAGACGACUCCCUCUUUCGGAUCCUGAUCCACUUUUCAUAAGAUAUUUAUGCUAGAAGAAGAGAAGAGGAGAGAUGUAUGAGGUAACUGAAUACUACUAAUCCAAUUAAAGCAGACAUGGCAGCUGAACGCUUGUUUACAGAAGUUAGGAUACCUCAACAAAAACCCAUCAACAUUAAUGGACAUGGAGGAGGAGGAAGAGGAGAAGAUAUCUUCUUCCCAACAGUCAUUUCCCCAUAUCCCAAUAUAAACCCUUCUCUCGUCGCACUUACAGAAGCUAUAAAAGCACAACGUAAUGAUGAUAAGCCAUGGACACACCCUCUUCUCCAUCAAACCGGGGCUAUUCUCUUCAGAGGCUUACCCCUCACAUCUGCUUCUGACUUCAACCUCUUUGUUGAAGCCUUUGGCUUUCUUGAAUUGCCCUAUGUUGGUGGCGUCGCCCCUCGGACCAACGUUGUUGGUCGGGUUUUCACUGCAAAUGAGUCCCCUCCUGAACAGAAAAUUCCUUUUCAUCACGAAAUGGCUCAGGUAUUCCUGCUACUUACUUUCUCUCUAACAUCAUCUUUAGAUCAAAUCUAAAUUCACUGGGGUUACUUUUUCUGAUUAGUUCAUUUAAUAUACGCUUUUGAAUGAAAUCUGCAUAGUAUUCUUUAACAAUAAUUCCACUUUCAGUUUAAUCUAUGUCUUGGAAUUUCCUCUGCAUGAUUGGCAGCAGUUUACUGUGUGGGCGUAAUUGAGCGAUGCAAGCUACUAGUAAAUAGUUCCUCUGCCCAUAAACUGAUUAAAAUAACUCUUAAUUUUUUUUACAGAAUUAUGACAUUUAUAGAAUUUGUGUUCAAUUCUACAAUCUUGAACAGAUAUCUUGGUUCUUUAUCGACAAAACAAUUCUAUUUGUGUUAAUCAAUACAAACUUUUUGAUGCACCUGACAAGUCAUUUUAUUGAAACCCUUGUUUCAAUAAGUUGUGACUAAACGAACUUUUGUGUUUAAUAAGCAGAGGUUUGGGUUCUCAAAAUUUAUUUCUUCAAGUGGUACAAGUACCAUUUAUACAUGUCAUGAAAAGUCACUAGCUUUCUGUUACAGGUUCCCGAGUUCCCAUCCAAAUUGUUUUUCUUUUGCGAAGUAGAACCAGGAAGUGGAGGAGAAACUCCUAUAGUUCUUAGCCAUAUCAUUUAUGAGAGGAUGAAGGGGAAGUACCCAGAGUUUGUUGAACAGUUGGAAGAGCAUGGAUUGAUUUACACAAGAGUGCUGGGGGAAGAGGAUGAUCCUUCGUCCCCAAUUGGCCGUGGGUGGAAGUCCACAUUUUUGACCAAAGACAAGAGCAUAGCUGAGGAAAGGUUUGUAGUUUUAACCUUAUUCAGCACUAUAAUUAUUUUGGACAAGAGCAUAGCUGAUAAGGAACUGUCUUUAAUAUGUGGAAAAGAGUAGGGAUCAAGUGGGAUCUCACCCAUUGAUUACUUUGGACCUUCCAGCAAAUUGAAAAUGAUCCACUUCAUUGAGGUUUAGCAUGUUUAUGGUGAUCAUAUAAAGCAAAGAAUGGAAGUGUUGCCUCAGUUUCACAGAACUGUAGCUGCCAGAGUUUGUUUGUCCGGUUCAAAAUUUAGCAUUAAACAAAAAGUGGCCCUUGUUCUUCCGUUGCCAAUUUGUCACCUAUCCCAUUUUCCUUUGUUUAUUAAAUUUUCCUUUGGGUAUGGCUCCUCUGUGGUUACAGGAGGGAGAGGAUAUAGUGAAGGCCUUUAAGUUUUUGUUUUGUUGAAGUCAAAACAAUUUGUACAAGUACAAAGAUGGAUUUCAGCCAGUGAAAUUUUUUUCAUGUUUUUUCUUCUGGGCCUUUUGGACAGGAGGGAACAAUUGACACUUGGUGGCAAAUAGUUUGUUUGCCACCUACUUCAUACCACUGAUCUUUAAUCCAUCUAGUGGCCAAAAUGAGAUUCUCAAUUUUAUUUACUUUUCCUUUUUUUUUUUUUCAAGUUUUUUCGCCUAAUUACUACUGUACCUCUUUCUUCCCUGAGUACAACACAACAAGUAUCAUCGCCAACAGAUGAAUUUAAUUCAAUGGUUUAAAUUUGGUGCACCUCCUCCGUCUUUGGACAGGAUAACAACGGAAUGUGAGUUUACUGGCUAUCAAAUCCUAUCUUCAUUAAUAAAAGGGGAAAACCUAUACGAAUUCCAUAUUCGAUUUAUGUUAGUCUUUUAUUUGGAAUUAUUCCAAGUCUAACCCACGAUAAUGUUUGACAGGGCUGCU
rnacentral:lncRNA from 1 species